CCCCGGAAGGGGAGUGAAAGAGAUCCUGAAACCGUGUGCCUACAAAUAGUCAGAGCCCGUUAAUGGGUGAUGGCGUGCCUUUUGUAGAAUGAACCGGCGAGUUACGAUCCCGUGCAAGGUUAAGCUGAAGAGGCGGAGCCGCAGCGAAAGCGAGUCUGAAUAGGGCGUUUAGUACGUGGUCGUAGACCCGAAACCAGGUGAUCUACCCAUGUCCAGGGUGAAGUUCAGGUAACACUGAAUGGA
rnacentral:rRNA from 1 species